rnacentral:tRNA from 1 species
GCGAGAAUACCCAAGUGGUCAACGGGGAUCGACUCAAGAUCGAUUCGCGCAGGCGUUCGCAGGUUCGACUCCUGCUUCUCGCA